AACGAACGCUGGCGGCAGGUUUAACACAUGCAAGUCGAACGCCCCGCAAGGGGAGUGGCAGACGGGUGAGUAACGCGUGGGAAUCUACCUAGUUCUACGGAACAACACAGGGAAACUUGUGCUAAUACCGUAUACGCCCUACGGGGGAAAGAUUUAUCGGAAUUAGAUGAGCCCGCGUAAGAUUAGCUAGUUGGUGGGGU
rnacentral:rRNA from 1 species